GCGGGAGCGCGGCGGCGAGCGGGACAGCGAGGCCGAGCAGCGCGCUCGCUCGCACAGCCUCUGCUCCUCG
rnacentral:pre_miRNA from 1 species